CUUUAAUCUGUAUGAAAUUUGAACUGGCAUGUGAUAUUUGUAAAAUUAGAUGGAUAUUCCUAUCAUGUAGAGUAUCCUGAUGGCAAAGAUUGAUCUGACAAAGAGAAUUUCAAUUCAGCGUUUGUUAUCCUACCAACUUUUACGGAAAUAAAAACUUUUUUGUGGCAUUGUGCAUAGAAUCCAGGCUAACUCGUGGUUGCAGGCCAUAUCUUAUCUCGUAAUAUACAACUAUAUUUUCCUCUCGGGUGCCACUAAAGUCUGAACCGCAACCAUGCAUGAGCCCAGAAAGUUUUCAGCUGCAGAGCUUGGUGAGACAUGAAGUGGAGUAGCAAAUGUUAGUGGACGAAAUAGAGAAGAUGGCUAGGGAGGAGGCUCAGAGGAGAAUUUUCAAGGCGCAACCAAUACUGAAGGGGUAAGUAGCAUAUGCAAUGUUUUGUUCCAACCCCCAAGACCUCUUAAUUUAUUUGGGAGAAAGGUUAGUAAUAGCUUUUAAAUUUCGUUGCAUGGAUCUAUUCCUGAUCCAGAGAAGAAGCGGAAACCUCUUACUGAAGUGCUAUAAUUUGAAUGGCAUGUUCAUGAGAGGGCAAUUCAAAUAUCGGAAUUUAAUAUUAUGGUCAAUUAUUUUGCCAGUGUGCUCUUUCUAUCAUUCAUUGUGGAGCUGGGAAAUAACUUUGAGUACCUCUUGAAAAAAUAUAUUGAUUUGGAGGUUUUACCGGGCAUUUCUCUGCGAUUCAGGUGAAGGAGAUCACUUGCAAGAGGUCAUGAGAGUAGAACGAACUUGCACAGUACAUAAGCAUAUCCUUACAUGUUCCUCAGAUGUUGUAGUGAUGCAAGUGCAAGCACAUCUUCUUCUGCUCUAGCAGUUAACCACUGUGUGUAAUCUGCAUGUGAAUAUUGAGGAAGAGAAGGCAGUGAAGCAGCUGAGGUGGACCUCGGUGCCACAAGCAUGGUCCCUUCCAAAGUUUGACAUACUGUUUCGUCCACAAAGGUUGAUGAAACAGGUGACCAGGCCCAAGUCACCACAGCUUCACGUGAAUGAAAGAGGGCGAGAAGGCACACUUUCAUGAGAUGAUCUCAAUCUGCAGCUGCUUACCAUAUUUUCUUUUCUUUUACCCUGACGCCCAAGAUCACCUCCUAUCUUGUCGCUGAUAAAUGCACAUCACUGGAAUUAAUAUUGUUGUCAUUCUUUCUUAUCGGCAGUGGUAGGAGCAACAACAACAGAAGCAGGGCAGUACCAAAGCAGUGUCGUUAUUCCAGUGGUGAUAUAAUUGGGCCAAGCAGUUUCCCUCUGCUAAGCGAAGUGGGCAAGGAGUUCCGGAAGGUCAAGUGGAAGUAUAUGGAGUAGAUAGGACGUGCAGCUCAGUAGGAAUCUAAACUAUCCAUAUCGCUGCAACUUCAAGUUAGUUGGGUCUAAUGGAUCUAAUAAUUUUGAUGGGCAAACAGUGCAAUGGCACAGUAGAAAAACUGUAAUUCAAGAAUGUAGAAGUUUCAAUUUUGUGGAAACUUUUGAUAAUUGAAUCAUAUGUUUAAGAAAUAUCUUGGGUGGCUGAAACACAAUUGUUUUGUGUGAGUAAUUCCUGAUAAUGUUACAUUCUUUUGACUGA